rnacentral:rRNA from 1 species
GUGUCAGCAGCCGCGGUAAUACGGAGGAUCCGAGCGUUAUCCGGAUUUAUUGGGUUUAAAGGGUGCGUAGGCGGCACAUUAAGUCAGGGGUGAAAUUCGGCAGCUCAACUGUCGGCGUGCCUUUGAUACUGGUGUGCUUGAAUUGGUUCGAGGUCGGCGGAAUGUGACAAGUAGCGGUGAAAUGCAUAGAUAUGUCACAGAACUCCAAUUGCGAAGGCAGUUGACCAGGUCCAUAUUGACGCUGAUGCACGAAAGCGUGGGUAUCGAACAGGAUUAGAUACCCUGGUAGUCCACGCCCUAAACUAUGAUAACUCGAUGUUGGCGAUAUAGUGUCAGUGUCCAAGCGAAAGCGUUAAGUUAUCCACCUGGGGAGUACGGCCGCAAGGCUGAA